CAUGCAAGUCGAGGGGCAGCAUGAUUGAAGCUUGCUUCAAUUGAUGGCGACCGGCGCACGGGUGAGUAACGCGUAUCCAACCUUCCGUACACUCAGGGAUAGCCUUUCGAAAGAAAGAUUAAUACCCGAUGGUAUGAUGAGAUUGCAUGAUAGCAUCAUUAAAGAUUUAUCGGUGUACGAUGGGGAUGCGUUCCAUUAGGUAGUAGGCGGGGUAACGGCCCACCUAGCCGACGAUGGAUAGGGGUUCUGAGAGGAAGGUCCCCCACAUUGGAACUGAGACACGGUCCAAACUCCUACGGGAGGCAGCAGUGAGGAAUAUUGGUCAAUGGACGAGAGUCUGAACCAGCCAAGUAGCGUGAAGGAUGAAGGUCCUACGGAUUGUAAACUUCUUUUAUAAGGGAAUAAAACCUCCCACGUGUGGGAGCUUGUAUGUACCUUAUGAAUAAGCAUCGGCUAACUCCGUGCCAGCAGCCGCGGUAAUACGGAGGAUGCGAGCGUUAUCCGGAUUUAUUGGGUUUAAAGGGAGCGCA
rnacentral:rRNA from 1 species